UACGUAGGGUGCGAGCGUUGUCCGGAAUUACUGGGCGUAAAGAGCUUGUAGGCGGUUUGUCGCGUCUGCUGUGAAAUUUCGGGGCUCAACCCCGAACUUGCAGUGGGUACGGGCAGACUAGAGUGUGGUAGGGGAGACUGGAAUUCCUGGUGUAGCGGUGAAAUGCGCAGAUAUCAGGAGGAACACCGGUGGCGAAGGCGGGUCUCUGGGCCGAUACUGACGCUGUGGAGCGAAAGCGUGGGGAGCGAACAGGA
rnacentral:rRNA from 1 species